GGGCGGAAGGAUGCGGGGCCGCCUGGAGCCGGGCUCCCGCCCCAGCAGCGGAGUGGUGGAGCCACAGUGUUAAAGAACAGAGAAGUGAUCCUUAAUCAUUUAGAAUUUUGCCUCCACCAUCCACCAGAAAAUGAAGUGGAAAGAGAAGUUGGGGGAUGGUGUCUAUGACACCUUCAUGAUGAUAGAUGAAACCAAAUGUCCCCCCUGUUCAAAUGUACUCUGCAAUCCUUCUGAACCACCUCCACCCAGAAGACUAAAUAUACUGAGAGAUGUUACAUGUCUCGCUCAAGGUAACCCAGCUGGAGGACAGCCUUGGCUUCAGCUCAUUUGUCUCUAGAUCCUGUCAUCUUACCACUAUGCCUUGCUGCCUCUGAAAAGGCAGAAGGAAGUUAUUCUCUUUCUAGCUUUGUGGAGAAAAGCAGGUGAUACCUCAACACCAAGCCAGAGGGAGCCUCCAGUGACUCUGCAAAGAAAAAAAAGACCAACUCAGACUCCAGAGCAGCCCCAGACCAGAGCCUGAGCAGUUGGAGCCUUCCACCUUCCCACCCCUGCGUUCCUCUUGUCCUUGGGCAUCUCCUGUGUGUGCUUCAGGGAGGUGAUCGCAGUGCUAUAGAAGUGGUGGAGUGAAGGUGUUUUCCCAUCCUCAUGGCCUUAGGUAGUGUCUUUGUCUUUGAAGAGUCAGGGGCAUCUGGGGAGCUGUAUAACCAUAUCUAUCCUGUAGACUCGGGAGGAAGCUGCUGGCUGCUGCAGACAGAAGAGAAUCCCUGUGCUUCGGGCUCCUAGGAAGGUGUCUGCCAUCCUCUCUGUGCCACUGGUAUCUGUCUUCUUCCCCACCAGAUAACACCAUCCACGGCUGCAGGGCUGAGCAUGGCACCUUGUAUAUGGAGCUAAGCAGAUGCUGCUUGAGAAGAGCAUAUGUUUGUGUUGGGGGAACCAUGUCUCUCCUUGGUCCACAGAGCCCUGCCUGCCCCAGGAAAGGACAGCGUUGGGAGGGUAACUCCCACCCCUCACUCCUCCCCCUCAUUCCUGCCUCCACAAGCAUCUUCUGGGAAAGGUGAAUGAGGGAAGAGACAUUGGCACUUGUCCCUUACCUACCUAAGUUCUAUCCCCAAGGGCCCCUUCUGGAGGUGUUGUCUUCCUUCUGGAGUUUUGGGGGACCUAUUAGGGUGCAUGUGUGGCCAUAGGUCAAGCCUCAUUCUCUAACUGGCCUUACCAAGACUUAAGCUGAGGUUUUGUGUUCACCUGUCUAGGUCGUUUGCCAUUUCUCAAAUGUUCUGCCAGUCAGAGGUGGGAGGAAGUCGGCAGGGAUGUACUUGGUCAUCUCGAACCCCAUCAGAAUGUGUGUGGAGGCCUCCUGGCAGCUUCUAUGCAGGGUCCAGCUAGAUCCCUGGGCUUUUCCUGAGAUACACGGGGCUAACCCACUUCUUAGGGACUAAUUUUUCCACAUCGGAAAUCAGAAGCCAUUCCCCAGGGCCUCCCCUUCAGUUUCGUUAUCUCCUCUGAAUCUGCCCACAACCUUUGAAAAGGUCUCGCUGUUCUUCCCACUGAGAGAGAGGUGCAAGGCUUGCUCAGCCUCACACAGCCAAUCCGUGGCAAAGGAUGGCUGGAAUUCGGGUGUCCCCAAUCUCAACCCAUCCUCUUCCCACCCUGUAUCCUUUUUAGUUUAUUUACAUGAAAACAUGUUCAAAGGUAUAAUUACUAAAGUGCUCCUGGUUACACAAUAAUACGUCUUUACUGAAAAACAAAUUAAUGAGAAAAGAGAUGCAAAAAA
rnacentral:sRNA from 1 species